rnacentral:rRNA from 1 species
UACGUAGGGGGGCAAGCGUUUGUCCGGAAUCAUUGGGCGUAAAGCGCGUGUAGGCGGUCCGGUAAGUCCGCUGUGAAAGUCGGGGGCUCAACCCUCGGAUGCCGGUGGAUACUGUCGGGCUUGAGUACGGAAGAGGCGAGUGGAAUUCCUGGUGUAGCGGUGAAAUGCGCAGAUAUCAGGAGGAACACCAGUGGCGAAAGCGGCUCUCUGGUCCAAAAACUGACGCUGAGGGGCGAAAAGCGUGGGGAGCGAAC